AGUGAACGCUGGCGGUAGGCCUAACACAUGCAAGUCGAACGGCAGCACAGGAGAGCUUGCUCUCUGGGUGGCGAGUGGCGGACGGGUGAGGAAUACAUCGGAAUCUACUUUUUCGUGGGGGAUAACGUAGGGAAACUUACGCUAAUACCGCAUACGACCUACGGGUGAAAGCAGGGGAUCUUCGGACCUUGCGCGAUUGAAUGAGCCGAUGUCGGAUUAGCUAGUUGGCGGGGUAAAGGCCCACCAAGGCGACGAUCCGUAGCUGGUCUGAGAGGAUGAUCAGCAACACUGGAACUGAGACACGGUCCAGCCUCCUACGGGAGGCAGCAGUGGGGAAUAUUGGACAAUGGGCGCAAGCCUGAUCCAGCCAUACCGCGUGGGUGAAGAAGGCCUUCGGGUUGUAAAGCCCUUUUGUUGGGAAAGAAAUCCAGCUGGUUAAUACCCGGUUGGGAUGACGGUACCCAAAGAAUAAGCACCGGCUAACUUCGUGCCAGCAGCAGCCGCGG
rnacentral:rRNA from 1 species